UACGAAGGGGGCUAGCGUUGCUCGGAAUCACUGGGCGUAAAGCGCACGUAGGCGGAUCUUUUAAGUCAGGGGUGAAAUCCUGGAGCUCAACUCCAGAACUGCCCUUGAUACUGGGGAUCUUGAGUCCGGAAGAGGUGAGUGGAACUCCGAGUGUAGAGGUGAAAUUCGUAGAUAUUCGGAAGAACACCAGUGGCGAAGGCGGCUCACUGGUCCGGUACUGACGCUGAGGUGCGAAAGCGUGGGGAGCAACAGGAUUAAGA
rnacentral:rRNA from 1 species